UGGGGAAUAUUGCACAAUGGGCGCAAGCCUGAUGCAGCCAUGCCGCGUGUAUGAAGAAGGCCUUCUGGUUGUAAAGUACUUUCAGUCGGGAGGAAGGUGGUAAGGUUAAUAACCUUAUCAAUUGACGUUACCGACAGAAGAAGCACCGGCUAACUCCGUGCCAGCAGCCGCGGUAAUACGGAGGGUGCAAGCGUUAAUCGGAAUUACUGGGCGUAAAGCGCACGCAGGCGGUUGAUUGAGUCAGAUGUGAAAUCCCCGGGCUUAACCCGGGAAUUGCAUCUGAUACUGGUCAGCUAGAGUCUUGUAGAGGGGGGUAGAAUUCCAUGUGUAGCGGUGAAAUGCGUAGAGAUGUGGAGGAAUACCGGUGGCGAAGGCGGCCCCCUGGACGAAGACUGACGCUCAGGUGCGAAAGCGUGGGGAGCAAACAGG
rnacentral:rRNA from 1 species